rfam:Hordeum vulgare subsp. vulgare, WGS project CAJW01000000 data, contig: morex_contig_2547254
GAUAUACUCCCUCCGUCCGGAAUUACUUGUCACACAAUUGAUAAAAAAUGAAUGUAUCUAGAACUAAANNNCAUCUAGAUACAUCCAUUCCUAUUUCAAGUAUUUCUGGACGGAGGGAGUACGUA